CUUUGCAGCUGAACCUGUUGGUGAAGGUGAUCUGGCUUCCAAGCCCAUGACCUCUACUGAGCCUCUGGGAUAUGGGCAGGGUGUGUCUGCAGAGAGGACUUCUCCAGCUCCUUUGCUGGUUCCUGCACACAAAUCCAUCUCUCAUCACACGAGUCUUCCAAUGGGAAAGAACAAAGCUAGAGGACACAAGAAACCCCAUGAGCCAUCCAAAUACAUGAGCCAAAUGCUAAAGGAAA